rnacentral:tRNA from 1 species
GCCCUGGUAGCCCAACGCAGAGGCACCGCGCCCAAACCGCGGCCCGUGCGGGUUCGAGUCCCGCCCAGGGCACUA